rnacentral:rRNA from 1 species
AUUGAGCGCUGGCGGAAUGCUUUACACAUGCAAGUCGAACGGCAGCACGGACUUCGGUCUGGUGGCGAGUGGCGAACGGGUGAGUAACAUAUCGGAACGUAUCCAAUAAUGGGGGAUAACUAAUCGAAAGGUUAGCUAAUACCGCAUACGCCCUACGGGGGAAAGCUAGGGACCUUCGGGCCUGGCGUUAAUGGAGCGGCCGAUAUCUGAUUAGCUAGUUGGUGGGGUAAAGGCCCACCAAGGCGACGAU